CAACGUUUAUUUUUGACAGCCCAAACUCUUCUCCAACCGAUAUGUCUUUUCCACGUGGAUUAGACAUAUCCCUCUCCUCUGUCAAAUUUGACAGAUAGAAGAAGCUCUGUCAUUUAUUUUUUUUAUUGUUUCUCACUUUCUCCUUCUCCUUUCCCCGUCUUUCUUCCUUCAUCUCACCCAGAACUGAUGCUUUUGAAGCGUCUCUCUUUCUCCUUUCCCCUUCUUUCUUCCUUCAUCUCACCUAGAACUAAUGCUUUUGAAAUCCCGGUUCCAAUGAGCUAAUUAAAGGAACAUGGAUCAAAGUAAUUCAGAUUCAUCCUUGCCGUUACAAUAGCAGGUGGUUUGAUACAGCUAGGGAAAUGUUGAAAAAUGGAUGUGAGCUCUCAAACAGGACAACCCAAAAAGCAGAAGUUAUAUGGUUUCGUCACUAAGCUGCAUUGAUUUUUUUGUUCUUUUUCUGCAGAUGAGUUAAAUCAAUCACUAAGCUGCACAUUUGUUAAAUGCAGAUGAGUUGACCACCUACCAGAUUUGCAACAAAGAUGCAAAGAAGAUGUUUGAAGCACAAGAAAAGCUUCGGUUCAAUCUUGAUCAUGCUUGGAUUUCAAGCUGUUUAUGUUUCCUGCUAUGUAUUUCCAUAUCUCAAAUUCUCAUAAUCUCA